ACUGCUCAGUAACACGUGGAUAACCUGCCCUUGGGUCCGGCAUAACCCCGGGAAACUGGGGAUAAUUCCGGAUAACGCAUAUGUGCUGGAAUGCUUUAUGCGUCAAAUGGAUUCGUCUGCCCAAGGAUGGGUCUGCGGCCUAUCAGGUAGUAGUGGGUGUAAUGUACCUACUAGCCGACAACGGGUACGGGUUGUGAGAGCAAGAGCCCGGAGAUGGAUUCUGAGACAUGAAUCCAGGCCCUACGGGGCGCAGCAGGCGCGAAAACUUUACAAUGCGGGAAACCGUGAUAAGGGGACACCGAGUGUCAGCAUCAUAUGCUGGCUGUCCAGGUGUGUAAAAUACACCUGUUAGCAAGGGCCGGGCAAGACCGGUGCCAGCCGCCGCGGUAACACCGGCGGCCCGAGUGGUGAUCGUGAUUAUUGGGUCUAAAGGGUCCGUAGCCGGUUUGGUCAGUCCUCCGGGAAAUCUGAUAGCUCAACUAUUAGGCUAUCGGGGGAUACUACCAGACUUGGAACCGGGAGAGGUAAGAGGUACUACAGGGGUAGGAGUGAAAUCUUGUAAUCCCUGUGGGACCACCUGUGGCGAAGGCGUCUUACCAGAACGGGUUCGACGGUGAGGGACGAAAGCUGGGGGCACGAACCGGAUUAGAUACCCGGGUAGUCCCAGCCGUAAACGAUGCUCGCUAGGUGUCAGGCAUGGCGCGACCGUGUCUGGUGCCGCAGGGAAGCCGUGAAGUGAGCCACCUGGGAAGUACGGCCGCAAGGCUGAAACUUAAAGGAAUUGGCGGGGGAGCAC
rnacentral:rRNA from 1 species